GGAGGUAUAGCUCCGUGGUGGAGUGUGUGCUUAGUAUGCACGAGGUCCUGGGUUCAAUCUUAAGUACCUCUG
rnacentral:tRNA from 1 species